AUUGAACGCUGGCGGCAGGCCUAACACAUGCAAGCGAGCGUGAAAGUCCUUCGGGAUGAGUAAAGCGGCGGACGGGUGAGAACGCGUAGGAAUCUGCCCUGAAGCGGGGGAUAACUUGGGGAAACUCAAGCUAAUACCGCAUAGACCUAACGGGUGAAAGAUGGGGAUCUUCGGACCUAUCGCUUCAGGAGGAGCCUGCGUCGGAUUAGCUGUUGGUGGGUAAAGGCCUACCAAGGCGACGAUCCGUAGCUGGUCUGAGAGGAUGGCCAGCCACACUGGGACUGAGACACGGCCCAGACUCCUACGGGAGGCAGCAGUGGGGAAUAUUGGACAAUGGGCGCAAGCCUGAUCCAGCCAUGCCGCGUGUGUGAAGAAGGCUCUAGGGUUGUAAAGCACUUUAAGUUGUGAGGAAGUUACGAUUGCAAAUAGUGGUCGUAAUUGACGUUAGCAACAGAAUAAGCACCGGCUAACUCCGUG
rnacentral:rRNA from 1 species